GCCAGGCAUGGUGGCUCAUGCCUGAAAUCCCAGCACUUUGGGAGGCUGAGGCGGGUGGAUCACCUGAGGUCAGGAGUUCUGGACCAGCCUGGCCAAUGUGGUGAAACCCUGUCUCUA
rfam:Pan troglodytes isolate Yerkes chimp pedigree #C0471 (Clint) chromosome 7, whole genome shotgun sequence.